rfam:Camelus ferus unplaced genomic scaffold scaffold7513, whole genome shotgun sequence.
GAGGGUAUAGCUCGAGUGGUAGAGCACAUGUUCAGCAUGUAUGAGGUCCGGGGUUCAAUCCCCAGUACUUCCU